GACGAACGCUGGCGGCGUGCUUAACACAUGCAAGUCGAGCGGUAAGGCCCUUUCGGGGGUACACGAGCGGCGAACGGGUGAGUAACACGUGGGUGACCUGCCCUCAGCUCUGGGAUAAGCCUGGGAAACCGGGUCUAAUACUGGAUAUGACUCCAUGACGCAUGUUGUGGGGUGGAAAGCCUUGUGCGGCUGAGGAUGGGCCCGCGGCCUAUCAGCUUGUUGGUGGGGUGANGGCCUACCAAGGCGACGACGGGUAGCCGGCCUGAGAGGGCGACCGGCCACACUGGGACUGAGACACGGCCCAGACUCCUACGGGAGGCAGCAGUGGGGAAUCUUGCGCAAUGGGCGAGAGCCUGACGCAGCGACGCCGCGUGAGGGAUGACGGCCU
rnacentral:rRNA from 1 species